UUUGGCUUAGGAGGAAAGGACUUGGUUUAUCUUUACUGUAGAUUAGCAAAGUUUAUCAAGGUGUUCCAACUCUCCGCUCUAUUAUUCCACAACAAAAUCCAUUUGAGAUGAUUGCUUAUGCAGACAACCCUCUAGAGCAUUGAUAUGUGGAGCAAAUUUAGCAUCCAUAGUUACUGCGCCUGACUGAAGUCAAUCUUUUAGGUUAGAUUAAAGCUGUAUUCUUAACAAGUGCCAGAGAAGAGCGAUAGGCCAAGAGGUGCUGAGACAGCUUUCAAAGAUGGUAGGCUGCCAACUUUAUUGCCUGUCUGCUGAAGAGGAUCUUUAGAAAGAAGAGAAAAACCUUGGCUGACCACCUUUUAAAUCAGUGGUUCUCAAUCUUUUUUCUUUUGCGGACCCCUAAAAAAUUUCAAACUGGGGUGGAAAUCUUAGAUGUAGUCUGCGGACCCCCAGGGGUCCACAGACCACAGAUUGAGAACCAGUAUUUUAGACUGUAUCAAAGAUAGUAAUUUGGGAAAAAGAAAAGACGUGAGUUGAGGUGAACUGGAGCUGCCAUUGUUGCUAUUGUUGUUAAAGUCCAAACCCAUUUCCUAGAAAAUAAAACAAGAAAAACACACAAAAGGGGAAAGGAAAGAACAGUAAAGAUAGAAAAUGCAGCUUCUAUCACUGAUGUUGACUCUCAUUUGAAACCUUAUUGCUGGAAAAACACAAGCCCAGCCCAUGAUCUUAUCAGCCACUCUGAGACCUGACAAACUUGUAUCAUCAUCAGGUUGUCAAGGGCAUUGCUUUUAUCUGCAUCUCUGAUCACAAGUUUACUGCCGUGUUAUAAAAUAUGCAAUCUUGGCUGACCAAGCCAGACUCUUAUUAGACAGAUGGCAAAAAGAGAAGGGUAAAAGAUAGAAGAAAUAAGGUGAAGAAGGAAAAGAAGAUACUAAAGAGCAGGUAACGAAGUCUCACAUCCCACUGGUAUUCAGGAUUCAGCCAGAGCCAGUGGAAGUGGCAAAGUCAUCUGGGUCCCUCUCUCUGCCCCGGGCUCAUGAGAACAUUUCUCAGGAUCACAACAAAGAAGGUACAAUGGUCUCCUGGUGGAUCCUGUGGUCCCAGGAGAUGGUGGAGUUGGCAGCCAUGAUGGUGAUGCUCAACUCUUCCCCAUUUUUCAGUCAGCCAGUGUCAAGGUAGCCUCUGCUAAUUUUCACCCCACAAAGUCUCUUUCUGAGGACCCCAAAAGGAAGAGAUGAGUGGAGUAGCCCAUCCCCUCAUUAUUAUAUCUAUCAGUUAGGCCUAAUUUCCAAUACAUCAGUUUUGGUUAAUUGAUUUUCAGUCCCACACUUCUUUUGUUUACCAAGCAUGAUCUUAGCACAGUCCUUGAAUUAUAUCUAAGCCUUUUUGUUUGGACUAA